rnacentral:rRNA from 1 species
UCCAGGCGGGAAACUUAACGCGUUAGCUACAGCACUGCACGGGUCGAGUCGCACAGCACCUAGUAUCCAUCGUUUACGGCUAGGACUACUGGGGUCUCAUAAUCCCAUUUGCUCCCCUAGCUUUCGUCUCUCAGUGUCAGUGUCGGCCCAGAAGAGUGCUUUCGCCGUUGGUGUUCUUUCCGAUCUCAAUGCAUUUCACCGCUCCACCGGAAAUUCCCUCUGCCUCUACCGUACUCCAGCUUGGUAGUUUCCACCGCCUGUCCAGGGUUGAGCCCUGGGAUUUGACGGCGGACUUGAAAAGCCACCUACAGACGCUUUACGCCCAAUCAUUCCGGAUAACGCUUGCAUCCUCUGUCUUACCGCGGCUGCUGGCACAGAGUUAGCCGAUGCUUAUUCCUCAGAUACCGUCAUUGUUUCUUCUCCGAGAAAAGAAGUUGACGACCCGUAGGCCUUCCACCUCCACGCGGCAUUGCUCCGUCAGGCUUUCGCCCAUUGCGGAAAAUUCCCCACUGCUGCCUCCCNAA